rnacentral:rRNA from 2 species
UUCACCUCUUCCCAUUCCGAACAGAGAAGUUAAGCCCCUUAUGGCCGAUGGUACUGCACCACAAUGCGGGAGAGUAGGUAGCUGCCAUAU